GGUUAUCGGAUUAUUGGGCGUAAGCGCGCGUAGGCGGUUUCUUAGUCUGAUGUCGUAAAGCCCACGGCUCAACCGUGGAGGGUCAUUGGAAACUGGGAAACUUGAGUGCAGAAGAGGAAAGUGGAAUUCCAUGUGUAGCGGUGAAAUGCGCAGAGAUAUGGAGGAACACCAGUGGCGAAGGCGACUUUCUGGUCUGUAACUGACGCUGAUGUGCGAAAGCGUGGGGAUCAAACAGGAUUAGAUACCCUGGUAGUCCACGCCGUAAACGAUGAGUGCUAAGUGUUAGGGGGUUUCCGCCCCUUAGUGCUGCAGCUAACGCAUUAAGCACUCCGCCUGGGGAGUACG
rnacentral:rRNA from 1 species